rnacentral:rRNA from 1 species
GGAAUAUUGGACAAUGGGCGCAAGCCUGAUCCAGCCAUGCCGCGUGUGUGAAGAAGGCCUUCGGGUUGUAAAGCACUUUCAGUGGGGAGGAAGGGGUUGUUGUUAAUAGCAACAAUUUUUGACGUUACCCACAGAAUACGCACCGCCUAACUCCGUGCCAGCAGCCGCGGUAAUCCGGGGGGUGCAAGCGUUAAUCGGAAUUACUGGGCGUAAAGCGCACGCAGGCGGCUUGUUAAGUCGGAUGUGAAAGCCCCGGGCUCAACCUGGGAAUUGCAUUCGAUACUGGGAAGCUAGAGUAUGUGAGAGGGGGGUAGAAUUCCAAGUGUAGCGGUGAAAUGCGUAGAGAGUUGGAGGAAUACCAGUGGCGAAGGCGGCCCCCUGGCACACUACUGACGCUCAGGUGCGAAAGCGUGGGGAGCAAAC